rnacentral:rRNA from 1 species
UGAGUGGCGGACGGGUGAGUAACGCGUGGGCAACCUGGCCUGUACAGGGGGAUAACACUUAGAAAUAGGUGCUAAUACCGCAUAACGGGGGAAGCCGCAUGGCUUUUCCCUGAAAACUCCGGUGGUACAGGAUGGGCCCGCGCCUGAUUAGCCAGUUGGCAGGGUAACGGCCUACCAAAGCGACGAUCAGUAGCCGGCCUGAGAGGGCGGACGGCCACACUGGGACUGAGACACGGCCCAGACUCCUACGGGAGGCAGCAG